AACUAACAUCUGUUAGUAACUAAAACCUAAGAAUCGCAAUCUCGUUCUCUUAGUGAGUUGUAUGUGGAAGAAUCUGUGAACCCACCGCAUUAUUAUCCUAAGAGAACUCCUGCCUUUAUGUGAUUAAUGGAAAGGAGUAACGACCCUCAGCAAUGAGGUAUACGGCCAUUACGACUAUUAAGAA